rnacentral:rRNA from 1 species
UACGGAGGAUCCAAGCGUUUAUCCGGAAUCAUUGGGUUUAAAGGGUCCGUAGGCGGUUUAGUAAGUCAGUGGUGAAAGCCCAUCGCUCAACGGUGGAACGGCCAUUGAUACUGCUAGACUUGAAUUAUUAGGAAGUAAACUAGAAUAUGUAGUGUAGCGGUGAAAUGCUUAGAGAUUACAUGGAAUACCAAUUGCGAAGGCA